rnacentral:rRNA from 1 species
CCUACGGGAGGCAGCAGUGAGGAAUAUUGGUCAAUGGACGAGAGUCUGAACCAGCCAAGUAGCGUGAAGGAUGACUGCCCUAUGGGUUGUAAACUUCUUUUAUAAAAGAAUAAAACGAGGCACGUGUGCCUUUUUGCAUGUAUCUUAUGAAUAAGGAUCGGCUAACUCCGUGCCAGCAGCCGCGGUAAUACGGAGGAUCCGAGCGUUAUCCGGAUUUAUUGGGUUUAAAGGGAGCGUAGAUGGGUUGUUAAGUCAGAUGUGAAAGGUUGCGGCUCAACCGUGAAAUUGCAAUUGAUACUGGCAGUCUUGAGGACAGUUGAGGUAGGCGGAAUUCGUGGUGUAGCGGUGAAAUGCUUAGAGAUCACGAAGAACCCCGAUUGCGAAGGCAGCUUACUAAACUGUGACUGACAUUGAUGCUCGAAAGUGUGGGUAUCAAACAGGAUUAGAUACCCGAGUAGUC